rnacentral:snoRNA from 1 species
AGAGCAUCAAUGAUUAUUUCCCUUUUGUUAUCCUUGCAUUUUGAUAUAUCCCUGAUGAAAUCUUAUGGGGGAAGAAAAGAUCUGAGAUUCUU